UUGAACGCUGGCGGCAGGCCUAACACCUGCAAGUCGCACGGUAACAGGAAGAAGCUUGCUUCUUUGCUGACGAGUGGCGGACGGGUGAGUAAUGUCUGGGAAACUGCCUGAUGGAGGGGGAUAACUACUGGAAACGGUAGCUAAUACCGCAUAACGUCGCAAGACCAAAAAGGGGGACCUUCGGGCCUCUUGCCAUCGGAUGUGCCCAGAUGGGAUUAGCUAGUAGGUGGGGUAACGGCUCACCUAGGCGACGAUCCCUAGCUGGUCUGAGAGGAUGACCAGCCACACUGGAACUGAGACACGGUCCAGACUCCUACGGGAGGCAGCAGUGGGGAAUAUUGCACAAUGGGCGCAAGCCUGAUGCAGCCAUGCCGCGUGUAUGAAGAAGGCCUUCGGGUUGUAAAGUACUUUCAGCGGGGAGGAAGGGAGUAAAGUUAAUACCUUUGCUCAUUGACGUUACCCGCAGAAGAAGCACCGGCUAACUCCGUG
rnacentral:rRNA from 1 species